rnacentral:tRNA from 1 species
CCUUCAAUAGCUCAGCUCGUAGAGCAGAGGACUGUAGAUCCUUAGGUCGCUGGUUCAACUCUGGCUUGAAGGA